rnacentral:rRNA from 1 species
UCAAAAAAAUGUUUNGGUAUCCCANACGGGAUAUCUNGAAUAUAUACCAUGCCGCGCUUUAAGGGGCAGAGACCUUUUUCGUGUUAAAAUAUGCUACUNUUUUUGUUGUUAUCCUGGUUUAAAAUGAAGGGUGGGGGCAGGCCUACACAAUGCAAGUCGAGCGUAGAGGAGGGCUGCACCUCUGAGAGCGCGACGGUGAGUAAUGCCUAGAAUCUGCUUGUNGUGGGGAUAACGCUCCGAAACGGACGCUAAUACCGCAUACGUCCUACGGGAGAAAGCAGGGGACCUUCGGGCCUUGCGCUAUCAGAUGAGCCUAGGUCGGAUUAGCUAGUUGGUGGGGUAAUGGCUCACCAAGGCGACGAUCCGUAACUGGUCUGAGAGGAUGAUCAGUCACACUGGAACUGAGACACGGUCCAGACUCCUACGGGAGGCAGCAGUGGGGAAUAUUGGACAAUGGGCGAAAGCCUGAUCCAGCCAUGCCGCGUGUGUGAAGAAGGUCUUCGGAUUGUAAAGCACUUUAAGUUGGGAGGAAGGGCAUUAACCUAAUACGUUAGUGUUUUGACGUUACCGACAGAAUAAGCACCGGCUAACUCUGUGCCAGCAGCCGCGGUAAUACAGAGGGUGCAAGCGUUAAUCGGAAUUACUGGGCGUAAAGCGCGCGUAGGUGGUUCGUUAAGUUGGAUGUGAAAUCCCCGGGCUCAACCUGGGAACUGCAUUCUAAAACUGUCGAGCUAGAGUAUGGUAGAGGGUGGUGGAAUUUCCUGUGUAGCGGUGAAAUGCGUAGAUAUAGGAAGGAACACCAGUGGCGAAGGCGACCACCUGGACUGAUACUGACACUGAGGUGCGAAAGCGUGGGGAGCAAACAGGAUUAGAUACCCUGGUAGUCCACGCCGUAAACGAUGUCAACUAGCCGUUGGGAGCCUUGAGCUCUUAGUGGCGCAGCUAACGCAUUAAGUGACCGCCGUGCGAGAUCGGCCGAAAGGAUUUUUAGGCAAUNGCUUUUCGAA